GACGAACGCUGGCGGCGUGCUUAACACAUGCAAGUCGAACGGAAAGGCCCUGCUUUUGUGGGGUGCUCGAGUGGCGAACGGGUGAGUAACACGUGAGUAACCUGCCCUUGACUUUGGGAUAACUUCAGGAAACUGGGGCUAAUACCGGAUAGGAGCUCCUGCUGCAUGGUGGGGGUUGGAAAGUUUCGGCGGUUGGGGAUGGACUCGCGGCUUAUCAGCUUGUUGGUGGGGUAGUGGCUUACCAAGGCUUUGACGGGUAGCCGGCCUGAGAGGGUGACCGGCCACAUUGGGACUGAGAGACGGCCCAGACGCCUACGGGAGGCAGCAGUGGGGAAGUUUGCAGAAUGGGCGGAAGCCUGAUGCAGCAACGCCGCGUGCGGGAUGACGGCCUUCGGGUUGUAAACCGCUUUCGCCUGUGACGAAGCGUGAGUGACGGUAAUGGGUAAAGAAGCACCGGCUAACUACGUG
rnacentral:rRNA from 1 species